UCUUAUCAUAGUAACCUAACGUCACUUCUUGUUCCUUUAAGCAUUUUAACAAAAUUUCCCCCAAAUUUGCAGUCCUCUAAAAACUAUCGUCACCGGGAAGUGGAUGAGAACGGGGAAAAGGCGAAGCCUACACUGCCGAUUCAUAUGGCGUUCCCUUGAGGGGAAAAUGGUGUGAGGCUGGAUCCUUCAAUCUUUUACAAGAAGCAUGAAAUGGUGGGGGAGGUGAUUUCAAGGGCAGCAUCUGGUGUUUGGUACCUCUUCGUCGAAGGGGAAGGAGCUGGCGCAGUAGCGGCACAUCAUACACACACACUGUUUUCCGCAUUUAUGGGAUUGUUCUGGGAUUUAUACUCUGACAUCUUGAUUGAUUACAUGUUUUGGUUUUCAGACAUAGUAUAUGUUUAUGAAAUGGUUUGAUCGGACAAUGUUUAUUUACAAAUGAUUUUAUUAAGUAUUGCUUGAAAAAUGAAAA